AUGCCUGACUCCAACGGCAACAGCAUGAAACACACGGAGGAUAAUGGCCUCUUCACCGACUCCGGCCCCGUCCUCCCCGACUCAUGCUAUUGUGUACCUAAGUAUGAUCCAGGUACAAUGGGAGCAAGCUCAUCUUCAAUCCCUAGCUACUGCAUGACUGCCGGGCCAAGGUGGAGCGGCCCGCUGGGCGCGUCCGUGUGGUCAUGGUGGCCAUGGUUGCGGUUGCUGGCGGCUCGUCGAUCUGGCAGCGGCGAAACGUGGCCGGUGGCGGCGGCGACGUUCGGCCUAGAUCCCAGGGCGGCGGCAGGCGAAUCUGCACCGGCGAUCUGGUGGCUUGGUCUCCGGAUUGGUUCGGAUCGGAGACGGUGCGAGCGCGCGGGAUCCCUCUCGAUGGCUCUCACGGUUUGGAGAGGUGGGGUGGCAGCCCUCCUCCCAGGCUUCAGUGGUGCCACCCACAGGCAGUGGCCGGUGUGCCAAGGGCUCCCACGAUGA
rnacentral:rRNA from 1 species